CCUACGGGUGGCAGCAGUGGGGAAUUGUUCGCAAUGGGCGCAAGCCUGACGACGCAACGCCGCGUGGAGGAUGAAGAUCUUCGGGUCGUAAACUCCUUUCGAUCGAGACGAAUGGCCCUUGGGCUAAUCACCAGGGGAAUGACGGUACCGAGAGAAGAAGCCCCGGCUAACUCCGUGCCAGCAGCCGCGGUAAUACGGGGGGGGCAAGCGUUGUUCGGAAUUACUGGGCGUAAAGGGCUCGUAGGCGGCCAACUAAGUCAGACGUGAAAUCCCUC
rnacentral:rRNA from 1 species